rnacentral:rRNA from 1 species
AAAUUGAAGAGUUUGAUCAUGGCUCAGAUUGAACGCUGGCGGCAGGCCUAACACAUGCAAGUCGAACGGUAACAGGAAGCAGCUUGCUGCUUCGCUGACGAGUGGCGGACGGGUGAGUAAUGUCUGGGAAACUGCCUGAUGGAGGGGGAUAACUACUGGAAACGGUAGCUAAUACCGCAUAACGUCGCAAGACCAAAGAGGGGGACCUUCGGGCCUCUUGCCAUCGGAUGUGCCCAGAUGGGAUUAGCUUGUUGGUGGGGUAACGGCUCACCAAGGCGACGAUCCCUAGCUGGUCUGAGAGGAUGACCAGCCACACUGGAACUGAGACACGGUCCAGACUCCUACGGGAGGCAGCAGUGGGGAAUAUUGCACAAUGGGCGCAAGCCUGAUGCAGCCAUGCCGCGUGUAUGAAGAAGGCCUUCGGGUUGUAAAGUACUUUCAGCGGGGAGGAAGGGAGUAAAGUUAAUACCUUUGCUCAUUGACGUUACCCGCAGAAGAAGCACCGGCUAACUCCGUGCCAGCAGCCGCGGUAAUACGGAGGGUGCAAGCGUUAAUCGGAAUUACUGGGCGUAAAGCGCACGCAGGCGGUUUGUUAAGUCAGAUGUGAAAUCCCCGGGCUCAAC